GAACCGGCUGGCCCGGCGGUGGGGAGCGACCCGGCUGAGCACCGGGAAGGUGGUCUGGUUCGAGCUGAACCGGGGCU
rnacentral:tRNA from 1 species